UAACAACAGAUGAUGCCCUAUCAACUGUUUAAAAGUAUGGUUCUGCUAUCACUCUUGGAUGGACCUGCGGUGCAUUAGCUAGUUGGUAGGGUAACGGCCUACCAAGGCGAUGAUGCAUAGCCGAGUUGAGAGGCUGAUCGGCCACAUUGGGACUGAGACACGGCCCAAACUCCUACGGGAGGCAGCAGUAGGGAAUCUUCCACAAUGGACGCAAGUCUGAUGGAGCAACGCCGCGUGAGUGAAGAAGGUUUUCGGAUCGUAAAGCUCUGUUGUUGGUGAAGAAGGAUAGAGGUAGUAACUGGCCUUUAUUUGACGGUAAUCAACCAGAAAGUCACGGCUAACUACGUGCCAGCAGCCGCGGUAAU
rnacentral:rRNA from 1 species